UACGUAGGGUGCGAGCGUUGUCCGGAAUUACUGGGCGUAAAGAGCUCGUAGGUGGUUUGUCGCGUUGUUCGUGAAAACCGGGGGCUUAACCCUCGGCGUGCGGGCGAUACGGGCAGACUUGAGUACUGCAGGGGAGACUGGAAUUCCUGGUGUAGCAGUGGAAUGCGCAGAUAUCAGGAGGAACACCAGUGGCGAAGGCGGCUAUCUGGGCUUUAACUGACGCUGAGGCGCGAAGGCUAGGGGAGCAAACAGG
rnacentral:rRNA from 1 species